rnacentral:rRNA from 1 species
GACAGAGGUGCCGAGCGUUAGGCGGAAUCACUGGGCUUAAAGCGUGUGUAGGCGGAGUUCUAAGUACCUUGUGAAAUCCCACGGCUUAACCGUGGAACUGCUUGGUAUACUGGUUCUCUUGGGCCAUCUAGGGGCUAGCGGAACAAACGGUGGAGCGGUGAAAUGCGUAGAUAUCGGGAGGAACACCUGUGGCGAAAGCGGCUCACUGGACCACAACUGACGCUGAGGCGCGAAAGCUAGGGGAGCAAACAGGG